AACCACGUGGUGUAAUGGUAACACGCUUAAACUAUAUUGAUUAAACAAAAUGUAGUGGGGAGAUAUAGGUUCGAAUCCUACCAUGGUUU